AAACAAGAGAUGGAGAGAAAGGAACCUCAUUUCCUUCCUUCCCCUCGAAGGCAGCCCAGCUCUUCCUGUUCGGCUCCUCUCACACGCAUCCUUUCCUUCCUCUCUCGUCCCCUCCCUGGUGCUCCGCCGCCGCCUUCUUUCUCCACCAAAUCUACCCCGUCCCAUCAUCCUCAUCCACGGCCAUCGAGUGAAGGAGCCUGAGCAGGUGAGGGGGUGGCUCUGGGAGUCGGCGGUCUCUCCAGAGCGGUCGAGAGGCGUUGGGUCAAAGGCGUCGUGCCUCGAUGGCCGGGAUCGGGCAAGUCAGAUGGGAAGCAGCGAUGCCGGAAAUUGUUCGCUGCGCCUCCACCUUGUCCCCAGCCCUUCUACGAGCACUUUCUCUUGUCCACGGGAGCCCCCUUUCCACCGAGCUCCAGAUCCAUGACACUAGCAGCGAGGUGAGCAGCGGCAAAGGCUACCACCUAGCAACUCCUCUUUCCUCGUCUUUCAUCCUCUCCAACCCGUCUGGAGGUAUGCCCACUCUUCUUCUCUUCUUCUUUUAUACAGCAAAGAGGAUAGGCGCAAAUCUGAAGAUAGUAGUUUAGUUUUUAUUUUAUUUUGUAUUGUUUCUCCAUCCUACAAAAUUGCAACUUGUGUUUCUAUGGAAGCAAUAUUUUCAUCUUAUAUCAAUUUAGAUAGGCUACAUGGGGACCUUUUGUUCUGACCAGAGUUGAUGAUUUGCCUCAGGAUACAGUUGAUGAUGUAGUUGAAGAUGAAUGGGUUCUUACUAAGAUACAUCUGUAUAUGUAUGUGGUUUCUUUGCUUCGGUUGAAGAUAUAUGUGUGGCUUAAAGAUAUAUCUGAAGUUAAAUUUCCAAGACAUACCAUCCGUCAGUGAUUAUGUAUUAAUGAUUGUUGGGAACUCCUAUCUUACUGGGAUGUGAAAUACAAUGAUGUCAGUAUGUAUAAGCUUUGUCAAUUCCACUUUAUCUCGAGGAACCGCGAGAAAUGUAGUGUACAAAUGAGUUCAUGGCUUUGCAAGGCAUAUAAAUUUUAGGUGUCCAAUCUUUUCACUUAGUGUAUGUUGUUCCCGUAUGUAGACUUCCUUUUUGAUGAUAUUUCAAAAAUAUGUUGAACAUGGUUGUAAGUGAACAAAUUCUUAUGGAAUAUGAAUAUAAAGUUUUGCCUGCUCUUUUUUGGAUGUUUUUUUUUCUGAAUGAAGUUUGUCAAGUGUGAAAAUGGCCGCACCUGAGACAUAAUGAAGCGCUUCAGCAAUACAAGUGUGCCACAAGCACGCCUGACAGAGGGAGCGGGGAAGGCAGGGGAGGUGGGGAGGGGCGCACCAGAUCGGACAACUUGAUGAGGCCCUCCAGACGGGAGUCGUUCUUGACGUUGAGGCAACGGAAGGAGAUGCAGCCGGCGAGGUUGGGGGGGUGGGUAGAUGAGGUGGUCGACGUCGAGGACGGAGUACGGAGUCUCGGCCAUGAGCUUCUCGUAGCGGGGGGAGGAGAUGAACCCAUCGGCCCCGAACACGGCGUCCAGAUCCAGCCUGCCGCCGUUGGCGGGCAUCAUGUAAAUGUAUCUCCACUACUACACAGCCGGCCUGUCAGGUUGCACCUAAGUCCCUAAGCCUAUAUAUACAUACACCUACCUUCUUCAACACACACAGCUAUUUAAGUUCUUCUCUCGAGUAUUUACAGAGACAGCACCAGGCUGUUCUUUUUUUUUGUAUACUGUCACUCCGUGUCGAAUAUCCAAUUUAACCAUGGGUAUGGGCCUGCAC
rnacentral:lncRNA from 1 species